UAUCUACGGUACCGUCAGCCACCUACACGUAGGUGGGUUUCUUCCCGUAUAAAAGCAGNNNNNNNNUAGGGCAGUCUUCCUGCACGCGGCAUGGCUGGANNGGCUCCCGCCCAUUGUCCAAUAUUCCUCACUGCUGCCUCCCGUAGGAGUCUGGUCCGUGUCUCAGUANCAGUGUGGGGGAUCCCCCUCUCAGGGCCCCUACCCAUCGUUGCCUUGGUGUGCCGUUACCACACCAACAAGCUAAUGGGACGCAUACCCAUCUUAUACCACCGUAGUUUUAAAUAUGUAAUGAUGCCAAAACAUAUUACUAUGGGGUGUUAAUCCAAGUUUCCCUGGGCUAUACCCCUGUAUAAGGUAGGUUGUAUAC
rnacentral:rRNA from 1 species